ACUGGAGGCCCGAACCCACUUAUGUUGAAAAAUGAGGGGAUGAGCUGUGGAUAGGGGUGAAAGGCCAAACAAACCCGGAGAUAGCUGGUUCUCUCCGAAAUCUAUUUAGGUAGAGCGUCAUGUAUUACUUCUGGGGGUAGAGCACUGUUAUGGCUAGCGGGUCGUCAAGACUUAGUAAACCAUUGCAAACUCCGAAUACCAGAAAGUAUGAGCAUGGCAGACACACUGCGGGUGCUAACGUCCGUAGUGGAAAGGGAAACAACCCAGACCGUCAGCUAAGGUCCCAAAAUUAUAGUUAAGUGGGAAACGAUGUGAAAAGGCAUAGACAGCCAGGAGGUUGGCUUAGAAGCAGCCAUUCCUUUAAAGAGUGCGUAAUAGCUCACUGGUCGAGUCGGUUUGCGCGGAAGAUUUAACGGGGCUAAACUAUAUACCGAAGCUGCGGAUCGCAAUUUAUUGCGAUGGUAGGAGAGCGUUCUGUAAGCCGUUGAAGGUGAACUGUGAGGUUUGCUGGAGGUAUCAGAAGUGCGAAUGCUGACAUGAGUAACGAUAAAGGGGGUGAAAAACCCCCUCGCCAGAAGUCCAAGGUUUCCUACGCAACGUUAAUCGGCGUAGGGUUAGUCGGCCCCUAAGGCGAGGCAGAAAUGCGUAGUCGAUGGGAAACGGGUUAAUAUUCCCGUACUUCAUAUAACUGCGAUGGGAAGACGGAGAAGGUUAGCUCAGCAAGGCGAUGGUUGUCCUUGUUCAAGCGUGUAGAAAUGGUUCUUAGGAAAAUCCGGGAACCUCUAUUUCAAGGCGUGAUAACGAUCCCUCUUUUGGGAGAAGUGAGUGAUACCAUGCUUCCAGGAAAAUCCUCUAAGCUUCAGGUUAUAUGAAACCGUACCCCAAACCGACACAGGUGGACGAGAUGAGAAUUCUAAGGCGCUUGAGAGAACUCGGGUGAAGGAACUAGGCAAAAUGACACCGUAACUUCGGGAGAAGGUGUACUCUUGUUAUGUGAAAUCACUCGCUGAUAGAGCAGAAAAGAGUUGAAAAUACUAGGUGGCUGCGACUGUUUAUUAAAAACACAGCACUCUGCAAACACGUAAGUGGACGUAUAGGGUGUGACUCCUGCCCGGUGCUUGAAGGUUAAUUGAUGAGGUUAGCGCUUGCGCGAAGCUUUUGAUCGAAGCCCAAGUAAACGGCGGCCGUAACUAUAACGGUCCUAAGGUAGCGAAAUUCCUUGUCGGG
rnacentral:rRNA from 1 species